GACGAACGCUGGCGGCGUGCUUAACACAUGCAAGUCGAACGGAAAGGCCCUGCUUUUGUGGGGUGCUCGAGUGGCGAACGGGUGAGUAACACGUGAGCAACCUGCCCUUGACUUUGGGAUAACUUCAGGAAACUGGGGCUAAUACCGGAUAGGAGCUCCUGCUGCAUGGUGGGGGUUGGAAAGUUUCGGCGGUUGGGGAUGGACUCGCGGCUUAUCAGCUUGUUGGUGGGGUAGUGGCUUACCAAGGCUUUGACGGGUAGCCGGCCUGAGAGGGUGACCGGCGAGAUUGGGACUGAGAUACGGCCGAGACUGCUACGGGGGGCAGCAGUGGGGAAGAUGGCACAAUGGGCGGAAGCCUGAUGCAGCAACGCCGCCGGCGGGAUGAAGGACGUGGGGGGGUAAAACGCUUUCGCGUGUGAAGAAGCGGGAUGGACGGUACCGGGUAAAGAAGCACCGGCUAACUACGUG
rnacentral:rRNA from 1 species